GUUCCAGUAGCCUAGUGGUUAAGGCAUCCGCCUCGGAUGCAGGAGGUCGCUGGUACGAGCCGAAUCAAACCAAAAACU